rnacentral:rRNA from 1 species
AUUGAACGCUGGCGGCAGGCUUAACACAUGCAAGUCGAACGGUAGCAGGAGAAAGCUUGCUUUCUUGCUGACGAGUGGCGGACGGGUGAGUAAUGCUUGGGAAUCUGGCUUAUGGAGGGGGAUAACUACGGGAAACUGUAGCUAAUACCGCGUAGAAUCGGAAGAUGAAAGUGCGGGACCGCAAGGCCGCAUGCCAUGAGAUGAGCCCAAGUGGGAUUAGGUAGUUGGUGGGGUAAGGGCCUACCAAGCCUGCGAUCUCUAGCUGGUCUGAGAGGAUGGCAAGACACACUGGAACUGAGACACGGUCCAGACUCCUACGGGAGGCAGCAGUGGGGAAUAUUGCGCAAUGGGGGGAACCCUGACGCAGCCAUGCCGCGUGAAUGAAGAAGGCCUUCGGGUUGUAAAGUUCUUUCGGUAUUGAGGAAGGUGGAUGUGUUAAUAGUACAUCAAAUUGACGUUAAAUACAGAAGAAGCACCGGCUAACUCCGUG